CCUACGGGGGGCAGCAGUGGGGAAUAUUGGACAAUGGGGGGAACCCUGAUCCAGCCAUGCCGCGUGUGUGAAGAAGGCCCUCGGGUUGUAAAGCACUUUCAGUGAGGAAGAACGCCUGGUGGUUAAUACCCAUCAGGAAAGACAUCACUCACAGAAGAAGCACCGGCUAACUCCGUGCCAGCAGCCGCGGUAAUACGGAGGGUGUGAGCGUUAAUCGGAAUUACUGGGCGUAAAGCGCGCGUAGGUGGCUUGAUAAGCCGGUUGUGAAAGCCCCGGGCUCAACCUGGGAACGGCAUCCGGAACUGUCAAGCUAGAGUGCAGGAGAGGAAGGUAGAAUUCCCGGUGUAGCGGUGAAAUGCGUAGAGAUCGGGAGGAAUACCAGUGGCGAAGGCGGCCUUCUGGACUGACACUGACACUGAGGUGCGAAAGCGUGGGUAGCAAACAGGAUUAGAUACCCCGGUAGUC
rnacentral:rRNA from 1 species